rnacentral:lncRNA from 1 species
CAAUAUUUGUAAAAAAAAAGCUUCGCAAAGGGUGGUCAAAAAAAGGGUUGCAAAAAUAACAAGAUAGAUGACUAAAUUGUUUUUGUGUUGGUUUAAAGUGAAGUUUUUUUGUUUGUUUAAUGUAUAUAGAAUUUAAAAAAAUAUAUAUUUGGAAAUUUUUUUUUUUUUUUUGAACAAACAAAUAUUUGAAAAUUUAUCAAAUAAAAUUAGCUGUUUAGAAUUAAGAACAUGUUUAUAUAUAGCUGUAGUUCCUAUAAUAAAUAUGGUUAUAAUUUGUAAGUUACUUAAUU